GCAGUGGGGAAUAUUGCACAAUGGGCGCAAGCCUGAUGCAGCGACGCCGCGUGAGGGAUGACGGCCUUCGGGUUGUAAACCUCUUUCGCUCAUGGUCAAGCCGCAACUGUGGGUUGUGGUGAGGGUAGUGGGUAAAGAAGCGCCGGCUAACUACGUGCCAGCAGCCGCGGUAAUACGUAGGGCGCAAGCGUUAUCCGGAAUUAUUGGGCGUAAAGAGCUUGUAGGCGGUUUGUCGCGUCUGCCGUGAAAUUCUCUGGCUUAACUGGGGGCGUGCGGUGGGUACGGGCUGACUUGAGUGCGGUAGGGGAGACUGGAACUCCUGGUGUAGCGGUGGAAUGCGCAGAUAUCAGGAAGAACACCGGUGGCGAAGGCGGGUCUCUGGGCCGUUACUGACGCUGAGGAGCGAAAGCGUGGGGAGCGAACAGGAUUAGA
rnacentral:rRNA from 1 species